AGUGAAGGAUCUAGUUAUCUGACUACUAUCCUGGGAAGUCAACUAGUACUGUAAGCAAACUAAUAAUUUGCUUUUACAUAAAGAAAAUCAGUGAAUUUGAUUUUAUAUUUCACUUUGAAAGUUAUUGAACAUUUACUGCUUACAACAAAUUUGUUGAAUGAUGCUACUUGCUUUUUUUUGUAGCUAAUCUAAUGAGAAUUUAUAUUUGUGCAUAAAGUUCCUUUCCGUAAAACGCAUUGUAGAUAUACGAUUGAUAAAAAUGCUAUUAUAUUCUCUGCAUCAA